UACGAAGGGGGCGAGCGUUGUUCGGAAUCACUGGGCGUAAAGGGCGCGUAGGCGGCCCUCCUAGUCGCGUGUGAAAGCCCCGGGCUCAACCUGGGAACGGCGCGCGAAACGGGGGGGCUGGAGUUCGGGAGAGGAGCGUGGAAUUCCCAGUGUAGAGGUGAAAUUCGUAGAUAUCAGGAGGAACACCUGUGGCGAAAGCGGCUCACAGGACCAUUACUGACGCUGAUGCUCGAAAGCUAGGGGAGCAAACAGG
rnacentral:rRNA from 1 species